UACGAAGGGGGCUAGCGUUGCUCGGAAUUACUGGGCGUAAAGGGAGCGUAGGCGGACAGUUUAGUCAGAGGUGAAAGCCCAGGGCUCAACCCUGGAAUUGCCUUUGAUACUGAUUGUCUUGAGUAUAGGAGAGGUGAGUGGAACUCCGAGUGUAGAGGUGAAAUUCGUAGAUAUUCGGAAGAACACCAGUGGCGAAGGCGACUCACUGGCCCAUUACUGACGCUGAGGCUCGAAAGCGUGGGGAGCAAACAGG
rnacentral:rRNA from 1 species